AUACGUAGGAUCCGAGCGUUGUCCGGAUUUACUGGGCGUAAAGGGUGCGUAGGCGGCGCGGUAAGUCUCAUGUGAAAUCUCCCGGCUUAACUGGGAGGGGUCAUGGGAAACUGCCAUGCUCGAGGGCAGCAGAGGAGAGCGGAAUUCCGGGAGUAGCGGUGAUAUGCGUAGAUACCCGGAGGAACACCCGUGGCGAAAGCGGCUCUCUGGGCUGUACCUGACGCUAAGGCACGAAAGCGUGGGGAGCAAACCGGAUUAGAAACCCCAGUAGUCC
rnacentral:rRNA from 1 species